CAGAAAUCAAAAGUCAGCAUCACUUUCUGGCCAAACCAAAGGAACAACUUUAAGAUAAAAAGUGAAAGUUGAGGACUCUACAGUCAGUUAUUUCAACAUCACUGUGAGAUGAUUUUCUUAUAGACUUUCUAAAUUUCAAUGCCUUAGCCACUGCCAUCCAACUUCUAUGCAAAGAUAUGUCUUGGCUGGCUUCUACUGAAGUGAAAGACUUAUAGGACCUACUAUAAUCCUAUCCAGAGAGGAGAAAUGGCUUACAGGAGGCAACUACAUUCAUGAUGUAUGACUGUCAAAAGUGGGAGGUAAACUGAAGAAGAAGGAGAAGGAAGAGGAGGAGAAGGGGAUGAGGGAUAAGAAGGAAAAAGAAGAAAGAGGAAGAGAAGGAGGGAAGGAGAAGAAGAGAAUAAGAGGAAGCAACAGCAGCAGCAACAAAACAGGAAAUAUAUAUGAGAGCAGCUUUCUCUCAGCUUCCAACAAUGAGAGGACAAAUUGCGGGAGACAAGAUUAGCUCUGGCAAAUAUGACAAAGGACAUGGAAGUACUUAAAGGGAAAAUUGUGAAAUGACAAAAAACUGUAACAAGCCUGCAAAAAAAAAAAAAAAAAAAAAAAAAGGUAAUAAAGGUAAUCCUUCAAAUAAGAUAAUUCAAAGAUUGAAACUUGCAUGGCUCAGAGAUCUCAUUUUUUUUCUUUUCUUUUAAAAGACAUUUAUUUUUCUUCUUUCCCUUGAUAUUUGAAUAAAAUUUUCAAAGCUAAGAAAGACUUAUCGGCCAAACCAAGAAAAUCACUUAAAGCAAGAGCAUUUUGGCUGCUCAGAGGUAUUUAACAGAAAGAUUAAAAAUGUAAGUCUUUUUUCAACCCCUUGAUUUUUUUUUAUUUAGUAUGUUUUUAUAUUCUCAACACAAAU
rnacentral:lncRNA from 1 species